AUGCAUAUUACAGAAAUUCUGGAAUCAUCACUAGACCCAAACUGCACAACUGAUUUUGUGACCAACUUGUGGAUGCCAAAAAUACCAAAAUAAAAGCUCCAGAACAACAAUGAAAUCUGUUCUCUUUACUGCAACUGCAAACAUAACAAAAAGGCUGUAAAAGUAAAAGAUACCUUCAGAAUAUGUAAAACUGUAUGGCUGGUCUUGUAUAG
rnacentral:misc_RNA from 1 species